AUUGAACGCUGGCGGCAGGCCUAACACAUGCAAGUCGAGCGGAUGAAGGGAGCUUGCUCCUGGAUUCAGCGGCGGACGGGUGAGUAAUGCCUAGGAAUCUGCCUGGUAGUGGGGGAUAACGUCCGGAAACGGGCGCUAAUACCGCAUACGUCCUGAGGGAGAAAGUGGGGGAUCUUCGGACCUCACGCUAUCAGAUGAGCCUAGGUCGGAUUAGCUAGUUGGUGGGGUAAAGGCCUACCAAGGCGACGAUCCGUAACUGGUCUGAGAGGAUGAUCAGUCACAAGUGAAACUGGAAACCGGCCAGGCUCCCUAGGGGGGGAGCGAGGGGGAAAUUUGGAAAAAUGGGGGAAACCCGAACCAAGCCAUGCGCGGGGGGGGAAGAGGGUUUUCGAAUUGAAAGCCCUUUUAAGUGGGGGGAAAGGGAAGAAGGUUAAAACCUGCUGGUUUGAAGUUAACAAAAAGAAAAGCACCCGCCAACCUCGGG
rnacentral:rRNA from 1 species